rnacentral:rRNA from 1 species
AUUGAACGCUGGCGGCAGGCUUAACACAUGCAAGUCGAGCGGGGUGAUGGUGCUUGCACUAUCACUUAGCGGCGGACGGGUGAGUAAUGCAUAGGAAUCUGCCUAUUAGUGGGGGACAACAUCUCGAAAGGGAUGCUAAUACCGCAUACGUCCUACGGGAGAAAGCAGGGGAUCACUUGUGACCUUGCGCUAAUAGAUGAGCCUAAGUCGGAUUAGCUAGUUGGUGGGGUAAAGGCCUACCAAGGCGACGACCUGUAGCGGGUCUGAGAGGAUGAUCCGCCACACUGGGACUGAGACACGGCCCAGACUCCUACGGGAGGCAGCAGUGGGGAAUACUGGACAAUGGGGGGAACCCUGAUCCAGCCAUGCCGCGUGUGUGAAGAAGGCCUUAUGGUUGUAAAGCACUUUAAGCGAGGAGGAGGCUCUUUUGGUUAAUACCCAAGAUGAGUGGACGUUACUCGCAGAAUAAGCACCGGCUAACUCUGUGCCAGCAGCCGCGGUAA